rnacentral:lncRNA from 1 species
GUGUAAAUGGGCAGGAUCAAUUCCUGCCAACAAAAACCCUGCUUCAUGGAAGAAGGCCAUGCUCCAUGGCAUAGAUAUGAACUUGUUAUGAUAUUUCUGAAGAAAAGACUAUAAGGAAGACCUCUCCUAACUUAGCAACCAUUCUCCAUUUUCCAAAAGGGUAAACCAAGGCACAGAAAGAUAGGCACAAGGUAACUUAUGCAUGCAGAAGGUAACAAACACUCGUGCACACACACUGAAAAUCAGAAAGAGAGAGAGAGAGAGAGUUGCCAUAAUUAGUACUUUUGUUUAGAGAAGAAAGGCUGAGGCCUGGAGAAGUUAAGCAACAUGCUUAAAUCCACACAGCUAGUCAGAGGCAAAGCCAAGAUUUGAACGUGGGUAGUCUGAAUCCAGGAUCUUGGCCUUCACCCCUCUAUAACAUGACACCCUCAUCCCUGAAAAAAGAAAAAGUCAACUGAAAGCACUGUGAAAAGUGUCCUUUAAUAAAAUGGCUAAUUCUGGCAACAGG